AAGAAGAAAAAACACUGAAUUAAAAGGAGUGUCCAAAGUUUUAACCGGUAUUGUACUUUAGACGAGUUUGUUUUGCUUACUCUCCCUAAUCAACUAAUAGCCAUGAAAACGGUGGUUCCCUUUGGUAGUUUUGAUGAAAUCGUUUUGUUUUCCAAACGCUUCCUCUUUUUCUGAGCACCGCUGCAGUAGCUUCGUUUCAUUUUUGAACAAACAGUCAGUUCACCACGCCAAGGCCUUUACACUUAAUAAUGGAGUGAUAGUGGAGAAGUUAUAGGUCCGGUCUUUAUAAACUCCUGAUACAGGAGGAGGCGGGUUUUAGUUCAAGUUAAUUUAAUUCACCUCGGUUUAGAAUAAGGACGGAUACGUGGUGAGAGACAAUGAUUUAGAAGAUGUCUAAGGAAGGUGCACUCAGUCAUCUGUUCGUGCAGCGUCAGGGGCUUUCCGUCAGGAACAUCUGGAUGCCGGUUCACACGCCCCGGCUCCGCCUCUCCUCAAACAGCAGAGGAGGCGGGUUUCUGCCAGUUGCUCGCCUCCUCUUUUGUCACUCCGGCCAAAUGCUGAGGAGGGACAGUCACGAUUGGUGGUUUUCGGUUGUUACAGAUUGUACGCUCCGAGGGGUCUUUCCGGAAGUGCUACACCAACAUCUGAAAGGCAAAAAGCACCACCGGCUGGAAAGUGUCCAUUGUAAUGCCAUCGAUCACAGGCGGAUUGUCCUACUGCUGGAAAACUUCCCCGCUGGACAGAGAUUAGUUCAACACCGCCGUCGAAAGACUCAAAACCCCGAUGGUUUUCACUUCAAUUAUUUAUAGGAUAGUCUUUCUUUCUUUCUUUCUUUCUUUCUUUCUUUCUUUCUUUCUUUCUACAGUUUUGCUCUCUCUCUCUCUCUCUCUCUCUCAAUGGUUCCUGAGUUUUUCGACAUCGCCAUUUGGAAAUAUGACACCGUCGUUGGAAAGCGGAUGUGAAACCUGUCGUAAUGAACGGAUGAUUUUAUUCAGCUAAGUUAUUUAUGCUCACCAUAUAUAAUCAACUUUUAUUUUAGAAUUCUGUUGAUUUUUGUUCAAUCGAUCGUUAUUUUCCAAAUCAUAUUGCAUGUGAGAAAAACAUAAACAGCCGUAUUAUCAUUAUAAGCUAUUAUAUUGUAUUUAUCCUGAUAUGAUUUCAGUAUCUUGUCUUUUUGUACAUGUUUCUGUUUCGGUAACGGGAAAUAUGCCUGCGUAUGUUGUCUAAUGUUUGAUUUCUCUAUGUGACACUAUCAAAAUAAAAUAAAAUAAAAAAUACAAAACAGUGGAACAUUGAGUCCUGAAUAUAAAGGGCUGAUGCCGCGGGGGGAAACGGUUUGUGUAACAGUGCCGUCGACAGGUGAAGGAUAACCGUCUUUUCUCGGUCAUUAUGGUCUCCUGGGUCUUUAUAUUCCGGCCCGAGAUGAGGCUCCAAGCAGUGAGUGUCUCAUGUUGUGAGCGCAGAAUAGUCGAAGUUGCUGCUCCUUUUGCGCGUCGUCGCUCCUGGUCGCGCACAGUCACGUGUUGCAAUAUUUGUUUAUUAUGUACAACUCAAAUAGUUUAAAAUGCAAAUGAGAGGCGCUGUAUAAGGUGGACAUGGAGUAUUUGUGCCACAACACGAGGAAUCUAAGCGCAUUGUCUCAACAUUUCUUCAAACGAGUUCACCCGCUCAGAGCAGAGGAGGUGAAGUUACAAGUCCAUCUAUUAUACAGACAGGACUGUGAUUGCAGAUAAAAUGAGAAAGUCUGCUGCUAUGUGCUGUGCAGUUCCUGUCGAGCUGGGAGUGGCAUAACCCGCACGAUGGUGUAAGCUCAGCCCAUUCUGAAAAACACACGUCUUGGUUUUCAGAAAUACUUUCCCUGAAGUGAGGUUAGAUACUAAUCCAGUGUAGUGGGGACUGAGACGCCCAUAAAUGAAGCAUCCUGAUGUCAUUUUAGCAUAGCGACUUUUAGAAAGGAAUAAUUAAUUAGCGUAAACUACAAAAACAAGCAAAAAACAAACAAACAAAAAAACUAACUAUAAUUUCUGAACUGUACAUUUAUGAGGCGUUUUAUGGGCCUUUAGUCGCUUGGGACUCGAAACAGUGACCUCCCUUUGUCUAAUGGUAAAUCCGCCUCUCCAGUGCACUAAAUCGCGACCCAGAGGAAGAAGUGGCUCUCAGUGGCUGGAGUUUCUCCCAGACAGUGCGGAGGGACAAAAUACCUCAGAUCAGGGAGUAUCAUGUAUAAUAGAUAUUGAAUAUCUUUUUUUUUUCAUAAUCCGAAAAAUAUCCCGAAAAAAGUUGUAGUCUAUCUCCGAAAAAAAGCGGUCCAGUGGAAAUCAGUUCGCUUCUCAUUCACUUCCUCAUGGCGAUGGCGGACUGAUCAGCUGCCGCAGUGUCUUUCUAGCGGCAGAUCCGAAAUGUCCUCACCCGCUUCCAGUCCGGGCUCAGAAAGAGAAAAGUUACUCAGCAACUGCCAGAAAUGGAGCAGGGCGGACAGGUCGGUUUAGAAAUAGAUUCAGCGAGCGGGCGGAGCCAACUACCUUUUAUGUCGGCCCUUUUAUGGUCAUCUACGUCAGUUUAACGCACAUCUUCCAGAGGGUUGGCAACCUUUGGUGCGAAAGGAGGAGCUGAUAUACCGGUAAUGUGCACCAUUCUCAGCGAUCAGUGUUCACUCAGGGAGACAGUGCACCACUGCACAUCAGUCAAACUCAUCUCAUCUCAUUAUCUCUAGCCGCUUUAUCCUGUUCUACAGGGUCGCAGGUAAGCUGGAGCCUAUCCCAGCUGACUACGGGCGAAAGGAGGAGCUGAUAUAAUGUGCACCAUUCUCAGCGAUCAGUGUUCACUCAGGGAGACAGUGCACCACUGCACAUCAGUCAAACUGCAAAACAAAUAAGAAACAGUAAGAGACCGUGGCUGGAAACGGAUAUGGCAACAAGUAAGCUGAAUAUUCUGUGUUCUUUAAAUGAGUAGAUAUUUGGUAUAUGAAAAUUUUAAAUGCAGAACUGUCAGAAUUAGACUGAAUAGACUGUUGCCUUAAAAUAAAGAUUCCAUUAUAUAUAUAUAUAUAUAAUAUUUUUUUCCUUUUAUGAGCAACUAUUAUUAGUCCACUCAGUAGCCUAUGGAGUUCAUUCAAUCCAAAUGUUUGUGUUUAGAGAAAUUGCAUGCAUCACUGUAUCAGUAUGGAUUUAUAACAUUCUGUAUGCACAUUAUGGAUACUCCAGAGCCCUCCAGCAAACAUCAUCAAUAAUCAGGAUUACAAAAUGUAUUCCUUUGUUUCCUCCAUUUAUUGACUUAUUGUAUGUGAUCAAAUGUAUGCCUUGAUGAAUAACUACACUUGAUACAAUUACAUAGUGCACUGCAAGAAAUCCGCUAAGUGUUUUUGGUUUCUUUUAGGCAUUACACAUUUAUUAGAAAACACAGCAAAUGUUCAAAUAUUCAAUUUAAAUACUUAGCAACAGUAUCAAUAAAUCCACACAUGAACAAUAGCAAUGAUAUCUUUGACCACAGCUAAUGUGCAAAAUAUUAAAGUUAAAUACUUAACAAUAUCAACAAAUCUACACAUGAACAAUGGCAAAACAUCUAGACUUAAUUAUACAAUAAAGCUACCUAUGAAAAAAGGUGAUUUUUUUUUUCACACACAGUGUGAUAUCCGGACUUCAUAAUUUAUCACACCUGCUCCUGCUUAGCAACUUCUAGAAUGUACACCUCUGUUGCGCACAUAGAAAAACUGCCAGCUGAUCUAAGCUGCGCUAAUAGGUCUGCGCAUACACGGAGCUACACAUUUCACGCGUCCCGCUCCCAGAAUCAGACUGUACCAUUAGUAAAAAAGGAUGGAGGGGUGAAAUGACAAUAUCAUAAAUAAUUAAAGGAAAAAGUUAUAGCAAAUCAUAACCAUGUAUAAUUUGCAUAUUUUAACAAAUGAAAUGAAAUAUUUUAUUUCAAAAACUUACACAAGGCAAGACUAUUAAAAUAAUAUUAAUAUCCCUCACAGGCCCCCCGUCAGUGCCAGGCCCUUAGAAUCGUCCUAACUUUCUCCCCCUAGCGGCGCCCCUGUGUCUGAGUGACAAUAAGACUGUGCAUUUUUCGCGGACUCUAACCGACUGGGGGGAGCUACCGGUGUAUCUGCUCCUUUUGUUUUUAAUUUAGUUUUCAAUAGUAUCAGCGGAAAUUUGUCAGAAAGAUACCACGAACAAGUACACUGUUCGUGAGAAUCAACCAAAGUGUAUAUUGCUAGUGGUUUAUGUGUCGCCCCCAAAUCGACCGCAGCAGCGGAAUAAACAAACUUACUCAGUUUCUCCGCAGUCACAGCCCUGUUUGUAUAAUCGAUGGGCUGUGAACGUGUGACUGUAUAAACCGCCGCGCGGCUCCAAAUGCGCCGACCAUCUUCAGACAAACAGACCGAUUUUAAUAAGAGAUUAUUUCAAAAAGGAAACCUGUCGGCUGUUUUCGGAUUGAAUUAUGACUCCAGCUCAACACAUCUGUGACAGUAAGAUUAAUCUGCUUCUUUAAUAUGGUUUAUCUGUAGUUUAGGCUGAGAGUAUCAUGAGCCAUACAGAAUAGCAAUAUUGAUUAAUCUCUUCAAAACACUGUUGUGCUUCUGCACGGAAAAAAUAGUCAAAUUUAUUUUAACAUUGGGCGGCAUGGUGGUGUAGUGGUUGUCGCCUCACAGUGAGAAGGUCCGGGUUCGAGCCCCGUGGCCGGCGAGGGCCUUUCUGUGCGGAGUUUGCAUGUUCUCCCCGUGUUCGCGUGGGUUUCCUCCGGGUGCUCCGUUUUCCCCCACAGUCCAAAGACAUGCAGGUUAGGUUAACUGGUGACUCUAAAUUGACCUUAGGUGUGAAUGGUUGUCUGUGUCUCUGUGUCAGCCCUGUGAUGACCUGGCGACUUGUCCAGGGUGUACCCAGCCUUUCGCCCGUAGUCAGCUGGGAUAGGCUCCAGCUUGCCUGCAACCCUGUAGAACAGGAUAAAGCGGCCAGAGAUAAUGAGAUGAGAUUUUAACAUUUUUUUUAUAACAACCUCCACUCUUCUGGAAGGCUUUGCAAUAGAUUUCAGUGUGGGGAUUUGUGCUCAUUCGGUCACAACUGUAUGAGUGAAAAAGUGACCUUGUGUGCAGUCAGUGUUCCAGUUCAUCUGAAAUGUGUUCAGUGGGACUGAUGUGGACACGAGAGUUCUUCCACUCAAACCUUGGAAAACCAUGUCUUCAUGGAACUUGCUUUGUGCACAGGGGCAUUGUAAUUCUGGAACACGCUUCAGCGUGAGAGGGGAAAUUGUAAAGCUUCAUCAUACAAACACAUUCUAGACAACUGUGUGCUUCUGACUUGAUGGCAACAGUUUGGAGAAGAACCACAUGCAGUGUGAUGGUCAGGUGUCCACAUACUUUUGGCCAGAUAGUGUAGAUUAGACACCUGAGUAAACGGUGCGUGCCAUGCGAUCAGACACUGAACUAAAAUUGUUUAUAUUUAUGUUUGUUUGUCCCAAAAUGAAUGUAACAUCUGGCUGAUGUGUCAGUCAUCACCUAAUUUUGAUGCGCACGCUCUAAAGGCGACAAGUUAAGGCUCUGAUAUUUUAAUGAGUUUGAUUCAAUCAAUCAAUCAAUCAAUCAAUCAAUCAAUCAAUCAAUCAAUCUUUUAUUUCAAUUAGAUAUAAACAAAUAUAUGAGUCUCACUGGCUGUUUGUUAGCGCUGUAGCUAUUUGCUACUAGUCGCAGAGAGGUUCACACUGCAUGAUUCAUCUGAAUAUCAAACAUGCUUGAAAAUCCUGGAGCCUCGGCGAAUGCUCACGGACUGAGAAACAUCCUGUCGGUGAACGGUGCGCGUGAGCAGUCCACGGGAGCGCGCACUGAGGAGUCGCCGAACCGGUGAUAGCGAUGAUGGAGAGGAGACUUAGCGGCAGGAAAAAUAAACAGUGAUGAUGUAAUGAAUUUUUUUCCUUGCUUGUCCUUGACUCAGGUGUAUGUACUGCAGCGCUUAGCUUUGUGUCUGAGAUCUGCGAGAGGCUCGUGAACGUCUUUACAUGUGGAGGAGAAAAGCAUGAUAAUGAUGCAGCACCAGAGGGCUCAGAAAAGUCAGAAGAAGAAGGUGUUGGACUUUCAGUGGUGGAGACUGAACCAGCAGGGACCCAAAGCUCAGUGUGUCCUUUCUUCUCCAGAGAUCCAUGAGACACCUCCUCAGUCA